CCAAAUAAUCUGUAUGUCCAUGCUACUGACAGUGGAUAUAAUAAAGAGGCAGCAGAGAGCUUCAGUUUCUUUUCCCAAGCCUGCCGGCAAGAUUUUGACCUGAGGAAAGACAGAAAGUCAAGAAUACUCGUGACCCUCAAGAUUGCUAGCGCCAACUUUCUUAACAUAAAGGAAACAGAUACGCCUGUGAUAAACAGUUUUGCACCACAUUUCCGCCGGUCAUGGGGGACACCACUUGGAGUUGCACAAAAAACGUCCGUCACGGAUUGUCUUCCUCGCAAAUUUGAAUUAGUGCCCUGAUUACACUGAGAGGGGUGAGUGGGACACAGAUGGAUUAUGGACUGGAUCUGUAACUGAUGCCGCUGCCAGCUUCAAAUGGAAAAGACAAAGCGUUAGCUGGCAUUUCUUGUUUUCACACACACAUGCUUGUAAUAAUCAUGUUUGUGUUGC